UCUUACAGCUCUGGCAGCGCUGACAGCAGGAACAGGGCUGACAACACACAACGCCGGCAACACAAAAUUAAAUGCAAAACAUUAAAAUGAUAGUAAAACAAAACAUGCUGCUUAAAGGAAUUGUGUUGUGUAUAAUCUUUAUUGCGGGCUGCGCUGCGGAUCAUACAACGUUACCCGAGAGCUUUGUGAAUGCCGCCCAGCAAUCGACGCAUACCAAUAAUUGGGCGGUGCUGGUGGAUGCAUCGCGCUUCUGGUUCAACUAUCGUCAUGUGGCCAACGUGCUCUCCAUCUACCGUUCCGUGAAGCGUCUGGGCAUUCCUGACUCGCAAAUCAUUCUAAUGAUUGCCGACGACAUGGCAUGCAAUGCUCGCAAUCCCCGCCCAGGUCAGGUGUACAACAAUGCCAACCAGCACAUCAAUGUGUAUGGCGAUGAUGUGGAGGUCGACUAUCGCGGCUACGAGGUCACCGUAGAAAACUUUGUGCGUCUGCUCACGGGACGCACCCAGAAUGGUACGGCACGGUCCAAGAAGCUGCUCUCUGAUGCAGGCAGCAAUGUGCUGAUCUAUUUGACGGGACAUGGUGGUGACGGUUUUCUCAAGUUCCAGGACUCAGAAGAGAUAACCAGUCAGGAGUUGGCCGAUGGCAUUCAGCAGAUGUGGGAAAAGAAACGCUAUAACGAACUCUUCUUUAUGGUGGACACUUGCCAGGCGGCCUCGCUCUAUGAGAAGUUCACCUCACCUAAUGUUCUGGCGGUGGCCAGCAGUCUGGUCGGCGAGGAUUCGCUAUCGCAUCAUGUGGAUCCUUCGAUUGGCGUCUACAUGAUCGAUCGCUACACUUAUUAUGCACUCGAGUUUCUGGAGAAGGUUCAGCCCUUUAGUAAGCGAACAAUUGGCGAAUUUCUGCAAGUGUGCCCCAAGCGCGUCUGCAUCUCGACUGUCGGUGUCCGCAAGGAUCUCUAUCGACGGGAUCCGCAUAAGGUGCCCAUCACCGACUUCUUUGGCGCUAUUCGGCCCACUCGCGUCUCCACGGAACGCAUCAAUGUGACGCUGGCCAACGAAGAGGACUUUGUUAACGAUGUCGCAAAUGUGCAGCAAAAGAAAGAGUUCAAGAUCAUAAUGGAGCCACAGUUCACAGCUGAAUUAUUGAAAUGACCUGAAUGUACAUAGACUAGCUUUGGUAAGGAUUACUGCGUUGAGAUGGCGAUGAAGAAACAGAAAGAGGAAGACAGCGAGAUAGAGAGAGAGAAAAUGAAGUCGAAUGUUGUACACAUUUCAUGUGAUAAUAUUAACUUUAUUCAUCAUUCGCAUUCCGCAUUGUAAUUACAUCAAAUAUAUCUGUUUUUAAAUUAUACUUUUGUUUUUGUCGUCUUUCUUUUUCUUUUUACUAUCAAAACGCUCUCUAAUCCAUCAAGUAACAUUCAUAUCAAAUCUAAAAAAAUUAAAAAUAAACAAAAACCAUACAUACAAUAUCUCUUGUAUACUUAUAUAAAAGGUAUGAGGCAAGUUCGAAAAAUUUGUUUGAUUCGACAAGCACUCUUACAGUUUGUAGAAUCCACAUGAAUUCACGAAAAAAAACAGUAUUAAUACAUCAUUUUAUUUUUGGUUUUUUUUUUCUUUGUUUUCGUUUACAUCCUUUCGCUAAUUUGGUAUACACAAAAAAAAAACAUCUUUAAAGAGUAACAAUGGCAUUUCUUGCGCUGUUCGCUUCCUGAACGUGUCGAGAUCGUCCAGAACUUGCACAGGACGACGAUUACUCUUUAACGUAUGGAAGGAUCUACAUGUUCUUCUUUCAUUAUAAUUAUCUGCUAUCGUUAUUAUUUUCGUUCAUUUUCAUAUACAUAUGUAUAAAUCUUUUGUUGUUGUUCUUGUUAUUGUGUGAAAUUAUG